rnacentral:tRNA from 1 species
GCCUGGGUGGCUCAGUCAGUUGAGCACCUGACUUUGGCUCAGGUCAUUAUCUCCCAGUUCGUGGGUUCAAGCCCCGCGUUGGGCU